rnacentral:rRNA from 1 species
GUUAGUUAAUUGUGAAAUCCCAAAGCUUAACUUUGGAACUGCAAUUAAAACUGCUCGACUAGAGUUUGAUAGAGGAAAGCGGAAUACAUAGUGUAGAGGUGAAAUUCGUAGAUAUUAUGUAGAACACCAGUUGCGAAGGCGGCUUUCUGGAUCAACACUGACGCUGAGGCGCGAAAGUAUGGGUAGCAAAGAGGAUUAGAUACCCUCGUAGUCCAUACCAUAAACGAUGAUUGCUAGAUGUUGGAAAUUUAUUUUCAGUAUCGCAGCUAACGCAUUAAGCAAUCCGCCUGGGGAGUACGACCGCAAGGUUAAAACUCAAAUGAAUUGACGGGGACCCGCACAAGCGGUGGAGCAUGUGGUUUAAUUCGAAGAUACGCGCAGAACCUUACCAACCCUUGACAUGUCUGUCGCGAGUUUAGGAAACUAGACUUUUCGGUUCGGCCGGACAGAACACAGGUGCUGCAUGGCUGUCGUCAGCUCGUGUCGUGAGAUGUUGGGUUAAGUCCCGCAACGAGCGCAACCCCUACUUUUAGUUGCCAUCAGGUCAUGCUGGGCACUCUGAAAGAACUGCCAGUGAUAAGCUGGAGGAAGGUGGGGAUGACGUCAAGUCCUCAUGGCCCUUACGGGUUGGGCUACACACGUGCUACAAUGGUAGUGAC